CGGGACGUGGCGCAGCUUGGCAGCGCGCCGCACUGGGGGUGCGGAGGUCGUCGGUUCGAAUCCGGCCGUCCCGA
rnacentral:tRNA from 1 species